rnacentral:ncRNA from 19 species
UAAUUACAUAAGUUUCAUGGUGUUGAAUUUCUCGGAAUUCAGCUUAAAAGGGAAGCCGGUGAAAAUCCGGAGCGGUCCCGCCACUGUAAAGGGAAGUUCCAUUACUAUAACUUUAAUCCACUGUCAAUUGUGAUGGGAAGGAUGUAAUGGGAUGAUGAACCAAAGCCAGGAGACCUGCCAUGAAGCGUGAAACUGUU